AAAUAUAAAAAUUACAGUAAUGUACAAAUGUUAUUGACAAAUUAUUUAAUCGAUUAUCCAAACUUACUAUCAUUGGUAACUAUUUUUCUUGUACUCUUAAUCAUAGUUUUACGUAUAACUUAUUUAAUUCGUUCUCAAUUUGACAGUAUUGCUUUUUUUUUGUUAUGUGUAUAUUCCGCUAUUUGUUUGUUGAUUGUGAACCUAUUUUGAUAUAUUUUUUUAUUUAAUAGGAUAAUACAUCUCAAGGAAGAACGGAAAAUUACUUUCUAUUUUGAUUAUCCAUUAUUUUAUUUAUAAAGCACGUUAUUAUUUCAUCUUUACAUAAUUUAUAUUCCAGAACAUCCGUAAUUCAAUUUAGAAUCAUUAUCUCUCUAAUAGUCUUUAUUUUAAGUUUCCGCUCUCUCUCUCGCUCUUGUAUUCAGUUAUUUUUGGAGUUGUGAUCAGGCGAUGGAACUUGGAUCAAGCAAAACCGCGCAUAAAUUUAAUUCUGUAAAACGGGGAUGAAACUAGUCACGCGAUUGGUUAAAUUGCGAAAUAUUUACCGCGAACCGUCGCAGAAAUGUAAUUUGUUGCUUCUGAGUGGCGUUUUAUACGUCAUGAAACGCGCUUGGUGCAUUAUAAGUUCAUGUUUCGUAGCGUUAGGACGUUCUUUUCACGUCUCUUAAAUUCAACUUAUCCAGCCAAUUUUUUCGCAGAAUUAGUUUUAUUUUUCUUUCUACGUGUAAUACCCUGAAAGGUUAUAUUGAUUAAUUCCUACUAUAUUAUUGUUUUUCGCAAUUGUCCGCAGCAUGUGCAUAAGUUAAAUUGACAGACGUCACGUCGCCAUUUUAUUAGUUUUUGACAGUGGUUUUUGAUUAUCUGUUUAUGUUUUAUUUCAUAUUUCUUUUAUUUAAUAUGAGUCAAAGUGAAAAGGCUUACAUUUAUUUAUUUACUUACAUUUUCCGCGUAACAGGUGUCUAUUAUUUUGCUUAUUAAUCAAUUGUACAUUGUAUCUAAUAUAUUAGCAGACACCUUUGAAAUAUUUUUGAUUAAAAGUAGUUAAUAAUUGUUUUUGUCCGUUUGUAGAGAUUGGUCAACAAUUGAGAGAGAUUGGGAUUGGUAUCCUUUGCUUACUGGAAAGACGAGUCAUCCCCUACGGUGUUUUAGCUGCUAACUUUUCAUUGUAGAGGCUCUUGUAGUUGAUUAAGGAACAUUAGAAGAACUCGGGAUAUCAUUAAAUUAUGGAGCAUUAGUUGUAUCAGUCCUCAUUUGCUCCUGAAGUAGCUCUACCUAUGGUCUUAAACAAAGCAUGAAAGUGCCCUUUUUCUAUUGGGAACGGAGACAGUUUGCUGAAGAAAGGAUUUAUGACAAUGAUUGUCCAAAUAACGAGAAGGAAUUGCAGUUAAUUUUGAUGCUACUGAAACAACGGAUGAU